rnacentral:lncRNA from 1 species
GCUUCAGGCCUUAAGCAAAACAGAAUCAAGUUCUGACAUUCACGCAAAAGGCAGAAGGCAAAAAUCUUAGACGAAAAACAGAACUAGUGUUCUUUUCCCUCACGAAACAGAGAGCCACGAAACAGAGGCUGCUUACUCACGCAGGCAACGAAAAAUUCUAAGGCUCUUUACAAAUCACUAAUUCUAGAACUCAGGUAUAUAAAAUUCUCGAUUGUCAAUUAUCCUACAGUAGUAAUAGGUAGGAAUUGAAUAGUUAAUUCCCCUCUUCCUCUGUAUCAACAGUUCUAUGUUUAGGUGUGAAACUUUAAAAUUAAUUCAAAUGCACUGGUUGUUGUAGAAUUAAUUAUUUGACGGGUAUAAAUUGGACUGGGGCCUACGUAUUGGCUCAAGGAGUUUUGAGG